CGGCAGUUCAGCAGAAAUUGACGUUGAGAAGUAUUUGGUUUCCCAAUUUUAUCCUGAAAAUUAUGCCCAUGACUCGAAGUGUGAAUGGAGAGUGCGUACUCACAACGUCAGCAAAAUUAUUAUAUUAUCUUUCAUCGAAUUUGCCACUGAACAACGUCUAGAUGAGUUAACGAUAUUUGAUGGAACAGGGAGAAACAAGUCGCAAAGAGCCGUUUAUAGCGGUAACGUGAUACCACCUGGUUUUGAAAGCACAGGAAGUGACAUAACAAUAGCUUUCAAGAGCGACGGGUCUGUGAACGACCUUGGAUUUAAUAUCUCCAUAAAGUUCGAUGACAGAGGUGAGUGUCCUGGACACUUCACUUGUUUUACAAAUGAAUGUCUAAACUGGACAAAGGUUUGCGAUGGGAAGCCAGAUUGUAGAAACGA